AAGAUGUGCCUUGAAGAGUUUGAUCAUGGCUCAGAUUGAACGCUGGCGGCAGGCCUAACACAUGCAAGUCGAACGGUAACAGGAAGCAGCUUGCNCUUCGCUNNNNACGGGUGAGUAAUGUCUGGGAAACUGCCUGAUGGAGGGGGAUAACUACUGGAAACGGUGGCUAAUACCGCAUAACGUCGCAAGACCAAAGAGGGGGACCUUCGGGCCUCUUGCCAUCACAGAUGGGAUUAGCUAGUUGGUGAGGUAACGGCUCACCAAGGCGACGAGUGGCGGAUCCCUAGCUGGUCUGAGAGGAUGACCAGCCACACUGGAACUGAGACACGGUCCAGACUCCUACGGGAGGCAGCAGUGGGGAAUAUUGCACAAUGGGCGCAAGCCUGAUGCAGCCAUGCCGCGUGUAUGAAGAAGGCCUUCGGGUUGUAAAGUACUUUCAGCGGGGAGGAAGGUGUUGUGGUUAAUAACAAUUGACGUUACCCGCAGAAGAAGCACCGGCUAACUCCGUGCCAGCAGCGGUAAUACGGAGGGUGCAAGCGUUAAUCGGAAUUACUGGGCGUAAAGCGCACGCAGGCGGUCUGUCAAGUCGGAUGUGAAAUCCCCGGGCUCAACCUGGGAACUGCAUUCGAAACUGGCAGGCUUGAGUCUUGUAGAGGGGGGUAGAAUUCCAGGUGUAGCGGUGAAAUGCGGCCUAGAGAUCUGGAGGAAUACCGGUGGCGAAGGCGGCCCCCUGGACAAAGACUGACGCUCAGGUGCGAAAGCGUGGGGAGCAAACAGGAUUAGAUACCCGCAGCCUGGUAGUCCACGCCGUAAACGAUGUCUACUUGGAGGUUGUGCCCUUGAGGCGUGGCUUCCGGACGUAACGCGUUAAGUAGACCGCCUGGGGAGUACGGCCGCAAGGUUAAAACUCAAAUGAAUUGACGGGGGCCGCACAAGCGGUGGAGCAUGUGGUUUAAUUCGAUGCAACGCGAAGAACCUUACCUGGUCUUGACAUCCACAGAAGAAUCCAGAGAUGGAUUGGUGCCUUCGGGAACUGUGAGACAGGUGCUGCAUGGCUGUCGUCAGCUCGUGUUGUGAAAUGUUGGGUUAAGUCCCGCAACGAGCGCAACCCUUAU
rnacentral:rRNA from 1 species